rnacentral:piRNA from 1 species
UGGCUCCCGAACCAUGGACUUCACUGU